rnacentral:lncRNA from 1 species
CCUUUAAUUGCCACAGCAGUGCCCGACGUGCCCGAGACCCCCGAAGGGAUCGGGGCCAGAUCCGCUUUGGGGGGGUCAAAUCCCCCCGGGGAGGGGUCAAAUCCCACCCUGGAGGGGUCAGAUCCCACCCUGGAGGGGUCAAAUCCCACCCUGGGGGGGUCAAAUCCCACCCUGGGGGGGUCAAAUCCCACCCUGGGGGGGUCAGAUCCCCCCGGGGAGGGGUCAAAUCCCACCCUGGAGGGGUUCCAGAAAGUUCCUUCAGGAUCUGGAGAGGGGACACAAGACCCGACCCCAAAUCCUGAUGGGAUCGGGGGUGGAUCCUGCCCCAUGGAGGGGUCAGAUCCCACCUGGAGGGGUCAAACCCCACCCAGGGGGGGUCAAUCCCACCCCAGGGGGUCUCACCCAGCCCGGGGGGCUCCUGGCAGGUCCUGGCAGGUCAUGGAGAGGGGACACAACACCCGACCCCAAAUCCUCUCCUGAUGGGAUCGGGGCUGGAUCCUGCCCCAUGGAGGGGUCAGAUCCCACCCAGGGGGGAUCAAACCCCACCCCAGGGGGGGUCAGAUCCCACCCAGGGGGUCUCAGGCGGCCCGGGGGGCUCC